GACGAACGCUGGCGGCGUGCUUAACACAUGCAAGUCGAACGGUGAAGCGCCGUCCUUGUUGGUGGGUGUGGAGGAGUGGCGGAGGGGUGAGUAACACGUGAGUAACCUGCCCCCUUCGUCUGGAUAACCGCAUGAAAGUGUGGCUAAUACGGGAUAUUCUGGGACUGUCGCAUGAUGGGUCAGGGAAAGAUAUUGUUUCGGCGGGGGAUGUGCUCGCGGCCUAUCAGCUUGUUGGGGGGGAGAUGGCCUACCAAGGCGGUGACGGGUAGCCGGCCUGGGAGGGUGGACGGUCACAGAGGGACAGAGGCACGGCCCAGACUCCUACGGGAGGCAGAAGUGGGGAGUAGUGCACGAUGGGCGUAAGACUGAUGAAGGGAGGCCGCGUGAGGGAUGGUGGCGUUCGGGUUGUGACCGUCUUUCGCGAGUGAAGCAGGCCUGCCUGGUAUGUGGGUGGAUUGACGGUAACUGGAUAAGAAGCGCCGGCUAACUACGUG
rnacentral:rRNA from 1 species